CUUGGUUGACUUGUCUAUGCCAUAACAACCUUUAAACUCCAGCUUAUCAGCUUGACAUUCACAGAGUAUAUUGCCCGGGAGCUGAUUACAACAGCACACUGAGAAGGAAGAUGGC
rnacentral:lncRNA from 1 species